rnacentral:rRNA from 1 species
UACGUAGGGUGCAAGCGUUGUCCGGAAUUAUUGGGCGUAAAGAGCUCGUAGGCGGCCUGUUGCGUCCGCUGUGAAAUCCCGGGGCUCAACCCCGGGCCUGCAGUGGAUACGGGCUGGCUAGAGGCAGGCAGGGGAGAACGGAAUUCCAGGUGUAGCGGUGAAAUGCGUAGAUAUCUGGAGGAACACCGGUGGCGAAGGCGGCAUCCUGGACCGACACUGACGCUGAGGAGCGAAAGCCAGGGGAGCAAACGGG